GCCGACGUAGCUCAAUGGUAGAGCAGCUGAUUUGUGAUCAGCAGGUUGACGGUUCAAGUCCGCCCAUCAGCUCCA
rnacentral:tRNA from 1 species